AUUUAACCUAUAGGAAGAAAAUGAGAAAAGAAUGCAACACAAGGAUUAUUCAGACAAUGAAUCUACAUCUUUGGAUAUUUCUGGAAAGAGAAGGAAAGGACCUUUUAAAACCAUAAAGUUUGGGACCAACAUUGACCUUUCUGAUGA